UACGGAGGGGGCUAGCGUUGUUCGGAAUUACUGGGCGUAAAGCGCGCGUAGGCGGCUUUGUAAGUUAGAGGUGAAAGCCCGGGGCUCAACCCCGGAACUGCCUUUAAGACUGCAUCGCUUGAAUCCAGGAGAGGUGAGUGGAAUUCCGAGUGUAGAGGUGAAAUUCGUAGAUAUUCGGAAGAACACCAGUGGCGAAGGCGGCUCACUGGCCUGGUAUUGACGCUGAGGUGCGAAAGCGUGGGGAGCAAACAGG
rnacentral:rRNA from 1 species